AUUGAACGCUAGCGGCAGGCCUAACACAUGCAAGUCGAGCGAGCGGCGGACGGGUGAGUAAUGUCUGGGAAACUGCCUGCUGGAGGGGGAUAACUACUGGAAACGGUAUCUAAUACCGCAUACCAUCAGAUGUGCCCCGAUGGGAUGAGCUGGUAGGUGGGGUAACGGCUCACCUAGGCGACGAUCCCUGGCUGGUCUGAGAGGAUGACCAGCCACACUGGAACUGAGACACGGCCCAGACUCCUACGGGAGGCAGCAGUGGGGAAUAUUGGACAAUGGGCGAAACCCUGAUGCAGCCAUGCCGCGUGUGUGAAGAAGGCCUUCGGGUUGUAAAGUACUUUCAGCGGGGAGGCGUUACCCGCAGAAGAAGCACCGGCUAACUCCGUGCCAGCAGCCGCGGUAAUAC
rnacentral:rRNA from 1 species